GUUUUCAGCAAGACUAAGACCCACUAUUUUUCCUGUCUGAUUUCUGAUGUACGGUGCUGAUGAAGUCCCAGAAUCCUGAAGCUGCAAAUGACUCAGUAAAUCAGGUAUUCAGGACAUCAAAGAGGGCCAACUACUAAGAAGCAUUGCAGCAAAGACUCCAGUCUCAGAAACCACUGAACGCAGAAAUGGUCAGCAGCGCUUCAGUGGGUUGCCUUUGUUGCACUAUGACAUAACACUCAGGAAAUCUUGACAAGAAAAUUAUUGCCAGAUAUGUUUAUUCUUCAAACUAAGCUGGGAAUUUUCAGCACUAAAAUGGCCUAAUUUCCACUCUGCCAAUCAUCUGCAGUGUGAUUCAGCUGUGUGGAUGAUUGCUAGCUCUCCACAACCUGGGGACAGGCAGCAGAAUUUUUGAAG